GAGGCGAGCGCGUGCUCGGGCGAGCACAUGGGCAGCGGCCGGGCCCGCGCCGCUCCGCGCCCCUCCGCGCCCCGCCGCCGGACCCCCGCCCGGGGAGGGGGGGGCACGGGUGCUCCCUGUUUUGCAUCAGGUAGCAGAAAGGCUGCUUAAAGCUUUGUGCCAAAGACCGUAGGAGCUUUCUGCAAGGAAAUGAAGGUCUGCUCUGUGAGAGUCCAGUUUCACAUGGACUGGGCAACCCCAGGAGAUAAAGACCACCACAAACCUCCUCAUAUUCUGCUCCGAGUGCAAGGUCCCAGCCUCACGCUUCCCACCGGUCUGGAGUAACAUUUGGAGGAGCCUGGCAGCAUGAGUCUUCCGGUAGCUCCCAAGGAUAUUUAGGAUCAUGGAAUAUAUGGACCCCUAAAACCCUCUGGAGAAUGUCAGCUGCAGAUAAAAACAUCUGGAAAUUCCUACCAUCUUUUUACACUGUUUUUUCCUGGGUCACCCCAUGUCAUUUGGGAAGGAAGCCUCUCUGGCCUGAGGAUUAUAGCAAACUGGUCACUUACUGGAAUACCUCCCCUUCUGUUCUCUAAAGAUGGACCCAUUGCUUUACCCAGCAGAAGGAUAUUUUUGUCCUCUCCCAGAGCUUUUCCAGUGCAGCAGCGCUCACGGCCAUCAGGACCAGGUGAAUUAAAAUAGAAAAGCGUCUCUCUUCCGUGCCCCAGUAAAAUUUUGCUUGCUUCCAUGAAGCAUCUAUGUCUGUCUUCCAUGAAGCCGGCCCUGUGGCGUUAAUGGUGUGGACGAUGCUGGAGGAGACCAGCUGCGGUUUCGAAGUCUCCUUGGCCGUAGACUUGUGCCUUCAACCUCCUGGUUGCGGCUGGCUCCAGUGGACCCACCAGCCGUGGUGACGUGCAUGGUGAGGCGCGUGCUUCCAACAACAGUUCUCUCUCCCAUAGGCAUGUCUGGACAGAAAACAGGUGUGAAGAGGAGGGCAGGUGGCACGUGUGCGCAUGGCAUUGGCACGGCCAUUUGCACGAUUGGGUUCUUCAUCCGUGCAAGGGCCUUCACGCUGGAUAUCAAGACUCCUAAUGACGGCAGCGUGCAAACCUGACCUCGAAAACCAGCUGAUGACAAAAGUCAUCCUCUGGCUCAAUGCCAUAUUUUCUAUUUUACUGGGGAGAAAUGCCUUGAAACACCCCAUGCGGGCAGCGGAUGGGUCCUGCCAUUCCCCAGGGAACCCCAGGGCAGAGCAAUGUUGCUGAGUCCCACCUUGCUGCAGCACUGAGAAAGGGUUUAUUUUGAUGGGAUGAGCACAGCAACAGCUGUUGUGGUAGGUUUGAGUUCUUCAGCAAUGUGUGCUUAUUCAAGAGGCCGUUCAAAUCAGGUGCUGGGUUUGAAGUAGCUGGACUUGGGCAGAGACAUCCCAACCUCUCACCCAUCUGAGGUGAAUAAGCACCUCCUGCUCAGUUCCUCAUGCAGGAACUUUUAUGUGAAACCUAAAACCAAAGCAAAUUACCAGCUGUGGGUGGUCAUCGGAAGCUGUGAGAAGUGUUUGCCUGGGUAGUGUCUUCCUGCCUCUGCUGUUCCUCUGGGAGCUUGCAAAGCUCAACGCUGAACACCUACAGGGUGAGAUGCUCCAUCGGGGUAUGCCAGCAUGGCACUAUGCCGGCUUGAUAGCCUCGACUCUCGUGUGCAUCUUUGUGGUGGUGAGUCCCCAGUUAUACCCCAAAUGGAGGACUCCAGGAGUGUUCAGCUGGGCCCACACGUGACUUUAUGGGAUGAAUAAAUGG